CCAACCUACUCCUUCCCCACCCACAAAGAUACGUGCGUUUUCUCUUCCUUAAGGCCUCCUCCCGGAGUGGCUCAGCUAGCCAAUUGGCAUCAGAAGAGCACCGUUUGGAAGGGAGUGUGUGUGGGCAGCCUGCAGGGCCGAACAGCCAUGGAGAGCUCCCGGCGGGCCCAGGAAGGAGACAGAGAUUGGCUGCCCUCCAGUUGAGCUGGCUCAUGAGAAGUUCAGCUUCCUUGUCCUCUCACAGACAGUCCCUUCCGUGCUGACCUUUGACUAGCCUGGGCAGGGCUCUCAUGCCCUA
rnacentral:lncRNA from 1 species